rnacentral:rRNA from 1 species
UGAAGGUGGCCUGUGAGGGUUGCUGGAGGUAUCAGAAGUGCGAAUGCUGACAUAAGUAACGAUAAAGCGGGUGAAAAGCCCGCUCGCCGGAAGACCAAGGGUUCCUGUCCAACGUUAAUCGGGGCAGGGUGAGUCGACCCCUAAGGCGAGGCCGAAAGGCGUAGUCGAUGGGAAACGGGUUAAUAUUCCCGUACUUGGUGUUACUGCGAAGGGGGGACGGAGAAGGCUAUGUUGGCCGGGCGACGGUUGUCCCGGUUUAAGCGUGUAGGUGUGUGUUCCAGGUAAAUCCGGUUCACUUUAACACUGAGGCGUGAUGACGAGGCACUACGGUGCUGAAGCAACAAAUGCCCUGCUUCCAGGAAAAGCCUCUAAGCAUCAGGUAACAUCAAAUCGUACCCCAAACCGACACAGGUGGUCAGGUAGAGAAUACCAAGGCGCUUGAGAGAACUCGGGUGAAGGAACUAGGCAAAAUGGUGCCGUAACUUCGGGAGAAGGCACGCUGACACGUAGGUGAAGUGAUUUACUCAUGGAGCUGAAGUCAGUCGAAGAUACCAGCUGGCUGCAACUGUUUAUUAAAAACACAGCACUGUGCAAACACGAAAGUGGACGUAUACGGUGUGACGCCUGCCCGGUGCCGGAAGGUUAAUUGAUGGGGUCAGCGCAAGCGAAGCUCCUGAUCGAAGCCCCGGUAAACGGCGGCCGUAACUAUAACGGUCCUAAGGUAGCGAAAUUCCUUGUCGGGUAAGUUCCGACCUGCACGAAUGGCGUAAUGAUGGCCAGGCUGUCUCCACCCGAGACUCAGUGAAAUUGAACUCGCUGUGAAGAUGCAGUGUACCCGCGGCAAGACGGAAAGACCCCGUGAACCUUUACUAUAGCUUGACACUGAACAUUGAGCCUUGAUGUGUAGGAUAGGUGGGAGGCUUUGAAGUGUGGACGCCAGUCUGCAUGGAGCCGACCUUGAAAUACCACCCUUUAAUGUUUGAUGUUCUAACGUGGACCCGUAAUCCGGGUUGCGGACAGUGUCUGGUGGGUAGUUUGACUGGGGCGGUCUCCUCCUAAAGAGUAACGGAGGAGCACGAAGGUUGGCUAAUCCUGGUCGGACAUCAGGAGGUUAGUGCAAUGGCAUAAGCCAGCUUGACUGCGAGCGUGACGGCGCGAGCAGGUGCGAAAGCAGGUCAUAGUGAUCCGGUGGUUCUGAAUGGAAGGGCCAUCGCUCAACGGAUAAAAGGUACUCCGGGGAUAACAGGCUGAUACCGCCCAAGAGUUCAUAUCGACGGCGGUGUUUGGCACCUCGAUGUCGGCUCAUCACAUCCUGGGGCUGAAGUAGGUCCCAAGGGUAUGGCUGUUCGCCAUUUAAAGUGGUACGCGAGCUGGGUUUAGAACGUCGUGAGACAGUUCGGUCCCUAUCUGCCGUGGGCGCUGGAGAACUGAGGGGGGCUGCUCCUAGUACGAGAGGACCGGAGUGGACGCAUCACUGGUGUUCGGGUUGUCAUGCCAAUGGCACUGCCCGGUAGCUAAAUGCGGAAGAGAUAAGUGCUGAAAGCAUCUAAGCACGAAACUUGCCCCGAGAUGAGUUCU